GGGUUGAGGAACUUCUUUCAUUUACAUACCUUUUAAUUAUGGCACCUUAAACAAAAACUAGACAUUAGUUGUUACCACUCAUGAUGAUAGUGGUGCAGAACUGGUAGAUUUGAGAAUAUUUUGCAGUCAAAUGCUCAACCACUGAGCUAUACCCCCGAUUUUAGAAUAUUUUGGAAAUUUUGAGACAAUGCUCCUGGAGUGAACAUAAAAACAGCUGGAGAGCAUGUGAUCCUCUUCACAUCUGAAAGCCAUUAAAGACAACAGUGGCAGAGGCAUUCCAGAUGGUUCCACCCCUCAGCUACAUGCUGUAGGCCCUGCUUUGCAUGCUAGCUCCAAUACCACACCAAAGUGAGCAGGCCUCAAGCAAAGAUGAGAAUGGCAAGGGUUGAUCAAAUGCCUUACCAUUCAUGUAUCAGGGACUGAAGUUCCACAGCUCAGGUGUGUAUCAUGGCCCAGGUGGAUCCAAUCCAAUCACUUUAGCCUUAUAAAGCAAUUUAGGACACAGUGAAAUCCAUACUCUUAUACAUUUUUGUGACAAUAUGAAUUGUUUAACCUUUCUUGAGGGCAGAUCUAGUGGUAUCUACAAAUAAUCUUCAGGAAGCAAGAUGGCCAAAUAGCACCCUCCAGCAAUUGUCCCCACUGUAGGAACACCAAAUUUGAACAACUAUCCACAAAAGAAAGCAUCUAUAAGACCCCAAAAUCAGGGAGAAGAACAUAAUAUAGCGCUCAUCGUUUCAUUUCUCUACCCACGAUCUUGCAAUGUUUUUCCUCUGCCAACAAGGAAAGAAAAUGGAGCUAUUCCUUUACUGAGCACCUACUAUGUGUCUGAUAGGUGCUUUCCCUUUGUUCUGAAUA
rnacentral:lncRNA from 1 species